UUCUGACUGAAACUUUUCCCACAUUCAAGACACUCAUACGGUUUUUCUCCUGUGUGAGUCCUGUGAUGUUCCACCAGGUUGGAAUUAUCCUGGAAACUUUUUCCACAAUCCAAACACUCAUAUGGUUUAUCUCCUGUGUGAGUCUUCCGAUGUCUCACCAGAUGGGAAUUACGACUGAAACUUUUCCUACAAACUGGACACUCAUAUGGUUUCUCACCCCCCAUGUGCUC